rnacentral:rRNA from 1 species
ACAAGCGGUGGAGCAUGUGGUUUAAUUCGAAGCAACGCGAAGAACCUUACCAGGUCUUGACAUCCCCUGACAACCCGAGAGAUCGGGCGUUCCCCUUCGGGGGACAGGGUGACAGGUGGUGCAUGGUUGUCGUCAGCUCGUGUCGUGAGAUGUUGGGUUAAGUCCCGCAACGAGCGCAACCCUUGUCUUUAAUUGCCAUCAUUCAGUUGGGCACUUUAAAGAGACUGCCGGUGUUAAACCGGAGGAAGGUGGGGAUGACGUCAAGUCCUCAUGGCCUUUAUGCCCAGGGCUACACACGUGCUACAAUGGCCGGCACAGCGGGAAGCGAGGGGGCGACCUUGAGCGGAUCCCUCAAAGCCGGUCUCAGUUCGGAUUGCAGUCUGCAACUCGACUGCAUGAAGUUGGAAUCGCUAGUAAUCGUGGAUCAGCCAAGCCGCGGUGAAUACGUUCCCGGGCCUU